UGGGAUAGUUGGGAUUGCAGGCUUGUUGGUUUUUGAAUGUCUGAUGUAGAUUUUUUCAAUUUCGUUGUUCUGUAUAGGACAAUGACAAUAAAGAUUAUCGUAUUGGUGUGUGUGUGUGUGUGUGUGUGUGUGUGUGUGUGUGUUCUUGACCCUUUCUGGCAGUUUUUCAGCUACAAGUUGUUCUGUCCCACCACCCAACCCCUCCCUUCUCCCUGCUUCUCAGGGAGAAAAUCUGAUAUCUUUCCUCCUAUGGGACAAAGAGCAGCAUAUCCCUGUGACCCACAGGCCCCAA